rnacentral:rRNA from 1 species
CCGGCGAUGUCCGAAUGGGGAAACCCAGUGCAAUUCGUUGCACUAUCGUUAACUGAAUACAUAGGUUAACGAGGCGAACCGGGGGAACUGAAACAUCUAAGUACCCCGAGGAAAAGAAAUCAACCGAGAUUCCCCCAGUAGCGGCGAGCGAACGGGGAGCAGCCCAGAGUCUGAAUCAGCUUGUGUGUUAGUGGAACGGUCUGGAAAGUCCGACGGUACAGGGUGAUAGUCCCGUACACCAAAAUGCACAGGUUGUGAACUCGAAGAGUAGGGCGGGACACGUGGUAUCCUGUCUGAAUAUGGGGGGACCAUCCUCCAAGGCUAAAUACUCCUGACUGACCGAUAGUGAACCAGUACCGUGAGGGAAAGGCGAAAAGAACCCCGGCGAGGGGAGUGAAAAAGAACCUGAAACCGUGUACGUACAAGCAGUGGGAGCACCUUCGGGUGUGACUGCGUACCUUUUGUAUAAUGGGUCAGCGACUUAUAUUCUGUAGCAAGGUUAACCGUAUAGGGGAGCCGCAGGGAAACCGAGUCUUAACUGGGCGUUAAGUUGCAGGGUAUAGACCCGAAACCCGGUGAUCUAGCCAUGGGCAGGUUGAAGGUUGGGUAACACUAACUGGAGGACCGAACCGACUAAUGUUGAAAAAUUAGCGGAUGACUUGUGGCUGGGGGUGAAAGGCCAAUCAAACCGGGAGAUAGCUGGUUCUCCCCGAAAGCUAUUUAGGUAGCGCCUCGUGAAUUCAUCUUCGGGGGUAGAGCACUGUUUCGGCUAGGGGGUCAUCCCGACUUACCAACCCGAUGCAAACUACGAAUACCGAAGAAUGUUAUCACGGGAGACACACGGCGGGUGCUAACGUCCGUCGUGAAGAGGGAAACAACCCAGACCGCCAGCUAAGGUCCCAAAGUCAUGGUUAAGUGGGAAACGAUGUGGGAAGGCACAGACAGCCAGGAUGUUGGCUUAGAAGCAGCCAUCAUUUAAAGAAAGCGUAAUAGCUCACUGGUCGAGUCGGCCUGCGCGGAAGAUGUAACGGGGCUAAACCAUGCACCGAAGCUGCGGCAGCGACACUAUGUGUUGUUGGGUAGGGGAGCGUUCUGUAAGCCUGCGAAGGUGUGCUGUGAGGCAUGCUGGAGGUAUCAGAAGUGCGAAUGCUGACAUAAGUAACGAUAAAGCGGGUGAAAAGCCCGCUCGCCGGAAGACCAAGGGUUCCUGUCCAACGUUAAUCGGGGCAGGGUGAGUCGACCCCUAAGGCGAGGCCGAAAGGCGUAGUCGAUGGGAAACAGGUUAAUAUUCCUGUACUUGGUGUUACUGCGAAGGGGGGACGGAGAAGGCUAUGUUAGCCGGGCGACGGUUGUCCCGGUUUAAGCAUGUAGGCUGGUUAUCCAGGCAAAUCCGGAUAAUCAAGGCUGAGGUGUGAUGACGAGGCACUACGGUGCUGAAGUAACAAAUGCCCUGCUUCCAGGAAAAGCCUCUAAGCAUCAGGUAACAUCAAAUCGUACCCCAAACCGACACAGGUGGUCAGGUAGAGAAUACCAAGGCGCUUGAGAGAACUCGGGUGAAGGAACUAGGCAAAAUGGUGCCGUAACUUCGGGAGAAGGCACGCUGGUGUGUAGGUGAAG